rnacentral:rRNA from 1 species
UACGGAGGGGGCUAGCGUUGUUCGGAAUUACUGGGCGUAAAGCGCACGUAGGCGGCUUUGUAAGUUAGAGGUGAAAGCCCGGAGCUCAACUCCGGAACUGCCUUUAAGACUGCAUCGCUUGAACGUCGGAGAGGUAAGUGGAAUUCCGAGUGUAGAGGUGAAAUUCGUAGAUAUUCGGAAGAACACCAGUGGCGAAGGCGACUUACUGGACGACUGUUGACGCUGAGGUGCGAAAGCGUGUGGAGCAAACAGG